rnacentral:rRNA from 2 species
AGAGUUUGAUCAUGGCUCAGAUUGAACGCUGGCGGCAGGCCUAACACAUGCAAGUCGAGCGGCAGCACAGAGGAACUUGUUCCUUGGGUGGCGAGCGGCGGACGGGUGAGUAAUGCCUGGGAAAUUGCCCGGUAGAGGGGGGAUAACCAUUGGAAACGAUGGCUAAUACCGCAUAACCUCGCAAGAGCAAAGCAGGGGACCUUCGGGCC